rnacentral:misc_RNA from 1 species
AAGUCGUAACAAGGUUUCCGUAGGUGAACCUGCGGAAGGAUCAUUACAGAAUAUCCUCUGUCAAAGGGCGUUUAGUGCCCAAAAUAAACAAACACUCUGCACCUACCUGUAGCAAGCAAGGGUGGGGGACCAAUGGUCAACCUGGUGGCCGUUCACCGGCCCCUAUUCAUUCAGGAUCAGCCGGCUGCCGCCACGGUCACGCCUUUGGUCUCCACGCUGCUGCUACGUUCUUCUAUUUUACACAUCUGUCGCAUGUUGGUGGCAUCCUGUGCCCCUAAAUAUAUAUAAAAAUAUAACUUUCAACAACGGAUCUCUUGGCUCUC